UACGGGGGGGGCAAGCGUUGUUCGGAAUUACUGGGCGUAAAGGGCUCGUAGGCGGCCAACUAAGUCAGACGUGAAAUCCCUCGGCUUAACCGGGGAACUGCAUCUGAUACUGGAUGGCUAGAGAUUGGGAGAGGGAUGCGGAACUGUGGGUGGAGCGGUGAAAUGCGUUGAUAUCCACAGGAACUCCGGUGGCGAAGGCGGCACGCUGGACCUUUUCUGACGCUGAGGCGCGAAAGCCAGGGGAGCAAACGGG
rnacentral:rRNA from 1 species